AAUCUUCCCUCAGAGGGGGAUAACCAUCCGAAAGGAUGGCUAAUACCGCGUAAGACCACGGCUGCUUCGGCAGCUGCGGUCAAAAGGGGGCCUCUCCAUGGAAGCUCUCACCUGAGGACGAGCCUGCGGCCCAUCAGCUAGUUGGCAGGGUAACGGCCUACCAAGGCUAAGACGGGUAGCUGGUCUGAGAGGAUGAUCAGCCACACUGGCACUGAAACACGGGCCAGACUCCUACGGGAGGCAGCAGUGGGGAAUAUUGGACAAUGGGCGAAAGCCUGAUCCAGCGACGCCGCGUGGGUGAUGAAGGCCUUCGGGUUGUAAAGCCCUGUGGGCAGGGAAGAAAACGUUGCAGUCGAAUAGGCUGCGACCUUGACGGUACCUGCUCAGAAAGCACCGGCUAACUCUGUGCCAGCAGCCGCGGUAA
rnacentral:rRNA from 1 species